rnacentral:rRNA from 1 species
GACGAACCGUGCGAACGUUGUUCGGAUUCACUGGGCUUAAAGGGCGCGUAGGCGGGUGGCCAAGUCGGGGGUGAAAUCCUUCAGCUUAACUGAAGAACAGCCUUCGAUACUGGUCGUCUGGAGGGGGGUAGGGGCAGACGGAACUUCCGGUGGAGCGGUGAAAUGCGUAGAUAUCGGAAGGAACGCCGGCGGCGAAAGCGGUCUGCUGGACCACCACUGACGCUGAGGCGCGAAAGCCAGGGGAGCAAACGGG